rnacentral:rRNA from 1 species
CAGCCGCCGCGGGAACACGUAGGUGGCAAGCGUUGUCCGGAAUUAUUGGGCGUAAAGCGCGCGCAGGCGGAUCAGUCAGUCUGUCUUAAAAGUUCGGGGCUUAACCCCGUGAUGGGAUGGAAACUGCUGAUCUAGAGUAUCGGAGAGGAAAGUGGAAUUCCUAGUGUAGCGGUGAAAUGCGUAGAUAUUAGGAAGAACACCAGUGGCGAAGGCGACUUUCUGGACGAAAACUGACGCUGAGGCGCGAAAGCCAGGGGAGCGAACGGGAUUAGAUACCCGCGUAGUCCCUGUCUCUUAUACA